rnacentral:rRNA from 1 species
AUUGAACGCUGGCGGCAGGCCUAACACAUGCAAGUCGAACGAGUGGCGGACGGGUGAGUAAUGUAUGGGAAACUGCCUGGUGGAGGGGGAUAACUACUGGAAACGGUAGCUAAUACCGCAUACCAUCGGAUGUGCCCAGAUGGGAUUAGCUAGUAGGUGGGGUAACGGCUCACCAAGGCGACGAUCCCUAGCUGGUCUGAGAGGAUGACCAGCCACACUGGAACUGAGACACGGUCCAGAGUCCUACGGGAGGCAGCAGUGGGGAAUAUUGCACAAUGGGCGCAAGCCUGAGGCAGCCAUGCCGCGUGUAUGAAGAAGGCCUUAGGGUUGUAAAGUACUUUCGGCGGGGAGGCGUUACCCGCAGAAGAAGCACCGGCUAACUCCGUGCCAGCAGCCGCGGUAAUUC